rnacentral:rRNA from 1 species
GACGAACGCUGGCGGCGUGCUUAACACAUGCAAGUCGAACGGAAAGGCCCCUUUCUUGUUACUCGAGUGUCGAACGCGUGAGUAACACUUGAGUAACCUGCCCUUGCCUUCGGGAUAACUUCAGCAAACUGGGGCUAAUGCCGAUUAGGAAUCCUUGCUUCAUGCUGGGGGUUUAAAAGUUUCGGCUGUUUUUGAUGGACUCACGGCUUAUCAGCUUUUUUGUUGGGUAGUGGCUUACCAAGGCUUUGACGGGUAGCCGGCCUGAGAGGGGGACCGGCGACAUUGGGACUGAGAGACGGAGCAGACUGCUACGGGAGGCAGUAGAGGGGAAUAUUGCCGAAUGGGCGGAAGCGUGAGGCAGAAACGCCGGGAGCGGGAUGAUGGGCUUGGGGUUGUAAACGGUUUUCAGAAGGGGAGAAGCUUGUGGUGACGGUACCUGCAGAAGAAGCAACGGCUAACUACGUG